UCCGUAGGCGGGAUAAUAAGUCAGUGGUGAAAGUUUGUGGCUCAACCAUAAAAUUGCCAUUGAUACUGUUAUUCUUGAGUUAUUGUGAAGUGGUUAGAAUGUGUAGUGUAGCGGUGAAAUGCAUAGAUAUUACACAGAAUACCAAUUGCGAAGGCAGAUCACUAACAAUUAACUGACGCUGAUGGACGAAAGCGUAGGUAGCGAACAGGAUUAGAUACCCUGGUAGUCC
rnacentral:rRNA from 1 species